CUACGUGCCAGCAGCCGCGGUAAUACGUAGGGCGCAAGCGUUGUCCGGAAUUAUUGGGCGUAAAGAGCUCGUAGGCGGCUGGUCGCGUCUGUCGUGAAAACUUCCGGCUCAACCGGGGGCUUGCGGUGGGUACGGGCCGGCUAGAGUGCGGUAGGGGAGACUGGAAUUCCUGGUGUAGCGGUGGAAUGCGCAGAUAUCAGGAGGAACACCGAUGGCGAAGGCAGGUCUCUGGGCUGUAACUGACGCUGAGAAGCGAAAGCAUGGGGAGCGAACAGGAUUAGAUACCCUGGUAGUCCAUGCCGUAAACGUUGGGCACUAGGUGUGGGGGACAUUCCACGUUUUCCGCGCCGUAGCUAACGCAUUAAGUGCCCCGCCUGGGGAGUACGGCCGCAAGGCUAAAACUCAAAGAAAUUGACGGGGGCCCGCACAAGCGGCGGAGCAUGCGGAUUAAUUCGAUGCAACGCGAAGAACCUUACCAAGGCUUGACAUGUUAACCG
rnacentral:rRNA from 1 species